UGCCAGCAGCCGCGGUAAUUCCAGCUCCAAUAGCGUAUAUUAACGUUGUUGCGGUUAAAAAGCUCGUAGUUGGAUCUCGGUUUCGGGUGAGUGGUGUACCUUGCGGUAUUUACUGCUUGCCCGGACGAUUUUGUUGGUUCGUUCAUAGUUCUCUUAACCGAGUGCUAUGAGUGGCCAGCACGUUUACUUUGAAAAAAUUGGAGUGCUCAAAGCAGGCGCUACAGCCUGAACAUUAGUGCAUGGAAUAAUGGAAUAGGAUCUCGGUUCUAUUUCGUUGGCUUUCGGAGUCGAGGUAAUGAUUAAUAGGGACAGACGGGGGCAUUCGUACUGCGACGUUAGAGGUGAAAUUCUUGGAUCGUCGCAAGACGAACUACUGCGAAAGCAUUUGCCAAGAAUGUUUUCAUUAAUCAAGAACGAAAGUUAGAGGUUCGAAGGCGAUCAGAUACCGCCCUAGUU
rnacentral:rRNA from 1 species